UUGUGGAGGAGGACGCCGAAGGUGGGGCUAAUGACUGGGGUGAAGUCGUAACAAGGUAGCCGUACCGGAAGGUGCGGGCUGGAUCACCUCCUAACAGGGAGACAACAAAAUGUUUAAUAUUAUUAUUUUGUCACCUUAGGUCGAUCGGUAUCUCACGUUCUUAAUUUAUUAAGAAUUUCAUUUCCUAAGUUUUUCUAGGUCACACCCAUUAUUUUCCUGGGCCAUUAGCUCAGGUGGUUAGAGCGCACCCCUGAUAAGGGUGAGGUCCCUGGUUCAAGUCCAGGAUGGCCCAUAUCUCUAUGUUGGGGGUAUAGCUCAGUUGGUAGAGCGCCUGCUUUGCAAGCAGGAUGUCAGCGGUUCGAGUCCGCUUACCUCCACUGAUCACCACCUCUUCCAUAAUCGAUAGAAAGGAAAUGUUUUGAGUUGUGAUCUAAUUCUGAACGAAUCUAGCUUCCUAAUGAAAUUAUUAAGAUGCUGGACUCAUUGAAUUAAUUUCAUUGUUUUCAGAGAACCUUGACAACUGCAUAGAUUAUUUUUAAAGACAAUAAGCAUCUUUAAUGAUGCAGAUUUAUUAUUUGUGCGAAUGCAUUAAUAACAAUUCUAUUAAGCUGAUGCUUCAAUUUUGAAGUUAUUGGUCAAGCUACAA
rnacentral:misc_RNA from 1 species